rnacentral:rRNA from 1 species
AUUGAACGCUGGCGGCAGGCCUAACACAUGCAAGUCGAACGAGUGGCGGACGGGUGAGUAAUGUCUGGGAAACUGCCUGAUGGAGGGGGAUAACUACUGGAAACGGUAGCUAAUACCGCAUACCAUCAGAUGUGCCCAGAUGGGAUUAGCUUGUUUGUGGGGUAACGGCUCACCAAGGCGACGAUCCCUAGCUGGUCUUAGAGGAUGACUAGCAACACUGGAACUGUGACACGGUCCAGAAUCCUACGGGAGGCAGCAGUGGGGAAUAUAGCACAAUGGGCGUAAUCCUGAUGCAGCCAUGCGGAGUGUAUGAAGAAGGCCUUGGGGUGGUAAAGUACUUUCAGCGGGGAGGCGUUACCCACAGAAGAAGCACCGGCUAACUCCGUGCCAGCAGCCGCGGUAAUAC